GACGAACGCUGGCGGCGUGCUUAACACAUGCAAGUCGAACGGAAAGGCCCUGCUUUUGUGGGGUGCUCGAGUGGCGAACGGGUGAGUAACACGUGAGUAACCUGCCCUUGACUUUGGGAUAACUUCAGGAAACUGGGGCUAAUACCGGAUAGGAGCUCCUGCUGCAUGGUGGGGGUUGGAAGGUUUCGGCGGUUGGGGAUGGACUCGCGGCUUAUCAGCUUGUUGGUGGGGUAGUGGCUUACCAAGGCUUUGACGGGUAGCCGGCCUGAGAGGGUGACCGGCCACAUUGGGACUGAGAUACGGCGCAGACUCCUACGGGAGGCAGCAGGGGGGAAUAUUGCACAAUGGGCGGAAGCCUGAGGCAGCAACGCCGCGUGCGGGAUGACGGCCUUCGGGUUGUAAACCGCUUUCGCCUGUGACGAAGCGUGAGUGACGGUAAUGGGUAAAGAAGCACCGGCUAACUACGUG
rnacentral:rRNA from 1 species